rnacentral:rRNA from 1 species
AGUGAACGCUGGCGGUAGGCCUAACACAUGCAAGUCGAACGGCAGCACAGUAAGAGCUUGCUCUUACGGGUGGCGAGUGGCGGACGGGUGAGGAAUACAUCGGACUCUACUUUUUCGUGGGGGAUAACGUAGGGAAACUUACGCUAAUACCGCAUACGACCUACGGGUGAAAGCAGGGGAUCUUCGGACCUUGCGCGAUUGAAUGAGCCGAUGUCGGAUUAGCUAGUUGGCAGGGUAAAGGCCCACUAAGGCGACGAUCCGUAGCUGGUGUGAGAGGAUGAUAAGCAACACUGGAAAGGAGACACAGACCACACUCCUAAGGGAGGCAGCAGUGGGGAAUAGAAGGCAGAGGGGGCAAGCCUGAUCCAGCGGUACCGCGUGGGUGCAGAAGGCCUUCAGUUUGUGAAGCCGUAUUGUUGGGUGAAAAAAGCUGCAGGUUAAUACCAAGCUGGUCUGACGGUACCCAGUGAAUAAGCACCGGCUAACUACGUG